rnacentral:rRNA from 1 species
GACGUAGGGGGCGAGCGUUGUCCGGAUUUAUUGGGCGUAAAGAGCUCGUAGGCGGCUUGUCGCGUCGGCUGUGAAAUCCCGUGGCUCAACUGCGGGUCUGCAGCCGAUACGGGCAGGCUAGAGUUCGGUAGGGGAGACUGGAAUUCCUGGUGUAGCGGUGAAAUGCGCAGAUAUCAGGAGGAACACCGAUGGCGAAGGCAGUGGUCUGGGCCGAUACUGACGCUGAGGAGCGAAAGCGUGGGGAGCGAACAGG